rnacentral:rRNA from 1 species
UACGGGGGGGGCAAGCGUUGUUCGGAAUUACUGGGCGUAAAGGGUGCGUAGGCGGUUCGCUAAGUCGGAUGUGAAAACUCUGGGCUCAACCCAGAGCCUGCAUCCAAAACUGGCGGGCUAGAGUUCUGGAGGGGGUAGCGGAAUUCCUGGUGUAGCGGUGAAAUGCGUAGAUAUCUGGAGGAACACCGGUGGCGAAGGCGACAUCCUGGACCGGUAUUGACGCUGAGGCGCGAAAGCCAGGGGAGCAAACGGG